AUGUGAAGAAGAAGACGCUGCUUCUUCUUCGUUGGUGUUUGGAUCAGAUAGAGCAGAAUCGACAGGUUCAGGUUCAAUAUUGAUCCAGUUUAACGUGGAGAUAAACAGGAUGAAUACAUGAUUGAUUGAUAAGUGAUUGAUAGAUGAUCGAUAGAUGAUUGAAAAUAAUUGAUAGGUGACUGAUAUAUGAUUGAUAGAUUACUGAUAGGUGAUUGAUAGAUGACUGAUAGAUGACUCAUGUGAUUGAUAGAUGAUUGAGAGGUGAUUGAUAGAUGUCCAAUAGAUGACUGGUAGGUGAUUGACGUGUGAUUGAUAUGUGAUUGACAGAUGACAGAUAGAUGAUUGAUAUGUGAUAGAUGAUUGAUAGAUGACUGAUAGAUUAUUGACAAGUGAUUGAUAUGUGAUUGAUAGACAGUUAAUAGGUGAUUGAUGUGUGAUACAUGACAGAUGUGAUUGAUAUAUGGCCAAUAGGUGAUUGACAGAUGACUAAUAGUUGACUGAUAGGUGAUUGAUAGGUGAUUGACAGAUAAUUGAUAGAUGAUUGACAGAUGACUGAUAGAUGAUUGGUAGAUGAUUGAUAGGUGACUGAUAGGUGAUUGAUAUGCGACGGAUAUAUGACUGAUAGAUAAUUGAUAAGUGAGUGAUAGGUUAUUGAUAGAUGAUUGAUAGGUCAUUGAUAGGUGACUGAUAGGUGAUUGGAUGAUCCAGAGAUCAUGCGACUCACGUUCAUUUUCAGGCCAGCUGAUCAAACGACGGUGGCUGGACUGAUGACAGCUGCAGCUUUCUGAGGACAAACACAGAAUAUUGAUCAGCUGAUACAUCUGAUCAAUUUAUCUGAUCGAUCUGAUCACUGCUGUAACCAAACAGAUCAAUAAUCAAUACUUUUAAUGAUCAGACAAAACAAUACCAACAACAGAAGAUCAGUUCACUGAUCAAUACCAGCUGACCCCGUAUUGAUCACUGAUCAGGUUAAACUUAAACCACAACAGGUUCACCUGGAGAUAACCUGGAUUUACUGACAGGUGAUUAGUACCACAGAUGAGGACUACUACAGGUGAGAGGUACUUACAGGUGAGAGGUACUUACAGAUGAGAGGUACUGGUUGCUGAUUCGCUGCUUGCUGGAGGAGGAGCAGGAGGCGGAGUUCUGGCUGUGUGGGCGGGGCUCCUCCUGCAGCGCCUCCUGCAGGUGGGAGGAGACGCAGCCGCUGUCGGAGCCGGUGGAGCCAGAGAGGCAGCGAGACGAUGAGCCAGAACUCUCUGUGGCUGCAGAACAGAACCAGAACCAGUGAAACCAACUGCCCUCUGGGUGCAUCAUGGGAAACGUAGGCUGCAGUUCCUGAACUAGAGUCUGUUCGGGUUAACCGAUUACUGGAGCUGGUAUUCAGCAUCUCUUAGAUUAACAGCAUUUAAUCAGCUGAUCUGUAAUAAACUAAAUGUUCUGUAUGAAUGGAUCAGACCGUCACCAUGGUAACAGAACCACCAGUCUGAGAAACAGCAACGUUAACAGAAGUCCAGUCUGCUC
ensembl:lncRNA